GACGAACGCUGGCGGCGUGCUUAACACAUGCAAGUCGAGCGGUAAGGCCCCUUCGGGGGUACACGAGCGGCGAACGGGUGAGUAACACGUGGGUGACCUGCCCUCAGCUCUGGGAUAAGCCUGGGGAACUGGGUCUAAUACCGGAUAUGACUCCAUGACGCAUGUCGUGGGGUGGAAAGCCUUGUGCGGCUGGGGAUGGGCCCGCGGCCUAUCAGCUUGUUGGUGGGGUGAUGGCCUACCAAGGCGACGACGGGUAGCCGGCCUGAGAGGGCGACCGGCCACACUGGGACUGAGACACGGCCCAGACUCCUACGGGAGGCAGCAGUGGGGAAUCUUGCGCAAUGGGCGAAAGCCUGACGCAGCGACGCCGCGUGAGGGAUGACGGCCUGGU
rnacentral:rRNA from 1 species